UCAUGUAACAGCAGGCAUUGGCCACAGGCUGUGCCUCUGGAAGUUCAGGCUGGACAGCAAGAGAAGGUGAUUCUCCAGGAGGGUGGUGGAACAGUGGAACAUGCUGUCCAGGGAGAUGGCAGUCUUUAGGGGCUUUUAAGACUUAGCAAGACAGAGCCAUGGCUGACCUGCUGUGAUGUUGGGAAUAACCCUACUGGAGCAGAAAGCUGGGCUAGACUGGCCCGACAACAGGUAUGUUCUGGAUAAGCUGUGUAUAAGUUCUCUAGGAAACACGUUUCCACAGAAGUCCUCAGCACCAGAAGUUUUUCAUCACACCAAAUUUAGCAGCAGGUCAGGUGCAUGGGCCUUUGGCAAACAGAAACUCUGCCCACUCCACAUUUGCUUCAUAUGUGUCUGAUAUGGUAAACUUUGGCAGUGGAGAUCAAGUCAAGUCUUUGGUCUGUCUAGACCAUAAAUCAGUGUUGCCCUGCUGUGAAAAAGAAACUCUGGGAGCUGGGACUCUGAAUCUCAGAAAAAAGUAUAUCUGUUUGCAGAUCACUUCCCACCAGGAGAUUCAAACAUUUCAACUUCUACUUCAGUGGUUCCAAAUCCCUGGAGUCUGUUCAGCGUUUCUAAAAGUCUGCAAAAGGUGUCAAAGGAAAGGGAACCUUUUGUGAACAGGCUUGAAUUCCACUUAUCUGGGCCUGCUCCUCCAGAAGGAAAAUUUUGGCAGCUGUCAAAGUGAUGAAAGAUUGGCAACCCACUGU